UCAUUCUCGCCUUCUGUUAUGCCCAAUUAUUUCCAUUAGCUUCGCGCCGUGUUUCUGAAGGGCGCUACGCCGCCAGGAGGUGAGGGACGAAGGCGUGGAAAUUGUUGGCGACGUGAUUGCCGCUAAGUUCGGCGAAGUCGAGAUCAAACUCGGCGAUGGUGAAAGAGAUCGAGUCGUGCGGGCAACAGGCGAAGUUGAGGGGGCGUACGAUUUUUCCGGCAAAGGGGGAGAAAUGGGUAAGGGUUUGAGGCGAUGAAUAAUGGCAAAGCUCAUGUUUGUUAUUAAGCUCACGUUUUUAAAAAAUUUGAUGGAUUGUUAUCGCUAAUAACAGAUAACAAAUUCUGGUAGAGUCUUCCUUAUUUUUAGGACUUUAGUUUCGAUAGAAAAUUUAUAUACAUGCUUCCCUUUAUUUUCUCUACAUAUCAGUACUGAAGUUGAGGUGAAUGCAUAUUCCUUUUCUUUAGGACUCUUAGAACUCUUUUAGUUUCGGUAGUAAAUUUAUACGUGGGUUUCCGUUUACUUUCUCUACAUAUCAGUACUGAAGUUGAGGUAAAUACAUUGUCAAAAAAUUUCUGAUUCCACUCUUUGUUGACUCGAUUCAAUUCACUGUCAUACUAUUUUUCGUGAGUGAAAUUCCUGGAAUUCUUUUUCAUCCGUCUACUUUUUUGUUGAAAACACAACUUAUUAUUGAAUUUGUUAACACUCUAUCUAUCAUGUUUUCACAGAAGUGUUGUGUGUCCUCUGUCUAUUAUCCGUUGCUCUGCUCGACAAUAUUGUGAAGAAGCUAAAGAAUCCAAUAUUUUUAUGCCACUUGUUCUAGUCUUUAUUUAUGCCUCUUAAACUAAGUUUAUUUAUCUCAAAUUUUGCAAUGUCACAGCUAUAUGUAAAUAGGUGUCAAAUAAUGUUAUGCUAGUAUUUUGCCGAG
rnacentral:lncRNA from 1 species